GUUGCCCAUGGCCCAGGCCGGCGACUGCUCGCUACCCUCCUCAAGGUCGUCGUCGCCACCGUCGCCUCGUCCUCCCGCUGCCGCGACAAGCCAUCGCUAUCGUCGCCACGCAGAUCUCCCCGCCGGAACCAAGACUCGGAGCAGCGAAGGGAUCGCAUCCGCCUCAGCCAGUCCGCGGAAUCCCAGUGAGAACACUAAUUAGAACUGCGAGAACAGUUCUAAUUGGACAAGGUCAGCAGAGAUAAGAGAAAGAAUAGUUCUAACUGGACACUAUCAGCAGGAGAGAUGUGGAGUUGCAAGCAGAAGAGAGGAAUGGAGAUAGCAAGUGAACAGCUGGACCUGUGCCUCAGUAGAAGGAGGAAAGGAGUAAAGACAUCUUUUCUGUGCUCCACAAGACACAACGGAAUAAGUGCUGCAGUGUGCUAGGUGGGAGAUUGCAGAACAAUCAAAACUCCCUUACGAGACGCGACCGGCAUUUCUUUCUUGCACCUGAUGUUCACAGAGGAGAUGGCUCGCAUGACUGGAAGGUAUCCAUGAUCUUAAACAGCUCAUGGGGGCUGUGAAGUGCUGAGAGUGAUCAUGCCGAGCAACAGGCCACAGGAAUGCAAAUCAUCUGAAAUGCCAAGAGUGGAGCUAUCAGGUGGCCUCCCUUAUUCCUCUGAUGUCAACAGGCUGUUCAG